AGUCGAAAAUAAUGAUUCUUUUCAUGAAUCGCCAUUUAUUCCUUGUGAUAGCCUAUUUUCCUUUAUAGGUGAAAAAAAUCUUAUCUCUUUCGAAUGCCACGAUAAGUUUAGAAUGCAUUACAUUGUGAUAUCGAAAGUUUUAGCAUUUAAUAUUCUGAUAAAUGAACUUGGAGAUAUUCUAAGGUUCAUUCAUCAUUCUCUCUGGUAUCUGAAUCAUCUACAAUGGAUCAUAGCAAAUGGUUUAUUGCAGAGUCAAAAAACAACAAUUCACUUCAUCGGCCGUUAUUGUACAGUAACUUUUUGGUGAUGACUGACGAUAACUAUUCCACCAACAAAGCUCACUCGUUAAUUUUUCGAUAAUUGCUUUUUUUUAAUGUACUAAAUCCUUAAUGUAUUUCACUGUAUUUCACGGAGAUGACGAAUAUUUGGUUUAUUUUCCGUCCGACUAUAGUCGUCCGUGGCUGCCAAGGGCUGUCACCAGGUGGCUAUAUAUUUCAGUGUGUUUAGGGAUUAAACAGUUCUAGUGUGUUGGUAAUGUAGGGGGGUGGGACAUCAAACUGUCAAAGUGCUGAGACGACUGACUGUCGAAACACUCACUCUUUUGCUGCCGAGACGCUGUCCGAGAAGGUUGAAUUUAGUCAUUGCUGGGUACUUUCUUACGUGAAAUUUGUGAUCAUAGACAUGGAUUCCUUGGUUAGUUUGAUGUUGGAGCUGCUAAUGGUGUUGAUGCAGCGAUCAUGGUGUGAGCACUGACCAGUGGUUUUGCAGUCAUUAUCCAGUCGAGAUGUCUUGAAAUGGAGCUUGUGCAGACAUUCAAUUCAACAUCUUUCUUCAAUGUGUUAUUUGCUAAUGUUGGUGUUUUUGCAGUGUUGAGCUGUUGUGCAGAAUAGUCUGUUGCCUGGUGGCUGUUGUGCAGAAUAGUCUGGUGGCUGUCGGGCAUGUUUUAUCGGCUGCUUUUUGUCGAAGUGUCGUCUCGUGCCACCUGUCACGUUACGUUGAGUCGUUCGCUGCCGUUCCGACUUGAUCCAUUGGUGAAACUGAGAUGAGGUUGCAGAAAUUGAAGAUUGAUACAUUAAUUAGAUUUGGACAAAUUAAAAGUGCAUGCAUGUUCUCCCUUUUCCCUAAGAAAACAGUCUCCGCCGUUGGUUAUUCGUCUGGUCGAACGGGAAAUUGCCAUGCAAAUGAUCUGAUGUACCUUUGGAGAAAAAUUAUUUUGACCACGAA